rnacentral:rRNA from 1 species
AGAGUUUGAUCCUGGCUCAGGAUGAACGCUGGCGGCGUGCCUAACACAUGCAAGUCGAGCGAUGAAAUUUGAAGGAUUUCUUCGGAAUGAAAACAAAUGGAUUAGCGGCGGACGGGUGAGUAACGCGUGGGCAACCUGCCCUGUACUGGAGGAUAGCAUCGGGAAACUGGUGGUAAUACUCCAUAAGCUUACGGUAAGACAUCUUAAAGUAAGAAAAGAUUUAUCGGUACAGGAGGGGCCCGCGUCUGAUUAGAUAGUUGGUGGGGUAACGGCCUACCAAGUCAACGAUCAGUAGCCGACCUGAGAGGGUGAUCGGCCACAUUGGAACUGAGACACGGUCCAGACUCCUACGGGAGGCAGCAGUGGGGAAUAUUGCACAAUGGAGGGAACUCUGAUGCAGCAACGCCGCGUGAAGGAAGAAGUAUUUCGGUAUGUAAACUUCUAUCAGCAGGGAAGAAAAGAAUGACGGUACCUGACUAAGAAGAACCGGCUAAAUACGUGCCAGCAGCCGCGGUAAUACGUAUGGUUCAAGCGUUAUCCGGAUUUACUGGGUGUAAAGGGUGAGUAGGCGGUUAUAUAAGUCAUAUGUGAAAUGUCGGGGCUCAACCCCGGCCUGCAUAAGAAACUGUAUAACUAGAGUGCAGGAGAGGCAAGCGGAAUUCCUAGUGUAGCGGUGAAAUGCGUAGAUAUUAGGAAGAACACCGGUGGCGAAGGCGGCUUGCUGGACUGUAACUGACGCUGAGUCACGAAAGCGUGGGGAGCAAACAGGAUUAGAUACCCUGGUAGUCCACGCUGUAAACGAUGAAUGCUAAGUG